GGAGAGCCAGUGUGGUGUAGUGGUUAAGAACGGCAGACUCGUAAUCUGGUGAACCGGGUUCGUGUCUCCGCUCCUCCA
rnacentral:tRNA from 1 species